rnacentral:rRNA from 1 species
GACGAACGCUGGCGGCGUGCUUAACACAUGCAAGUCGAACGAAGUGGCGAACGGGUGAGUAACGCAUAAUCAACCUGCCCUUCAGAGGGGUACAACAGUUGGAAACGACUGCUAAUACGGCAUACUGAAGAGGGGGCAUGCGUCUGAUUAGCUCGUCGGGGGGGUAACGGCCCACCAAGGCGAUGAUCAGUAGCCGGUCUGGGAGGAUGAACGGGCACAUUGGGGCUGGGACACGGCCCAGACUCCUACGGGAGGCAGCAGUGGGGAAUCUUCCGCAAUGGACGAAAGUCUGACGGAGCAACGCCGCGUGAGUGAUGACGGCCUUCGGGUUGUAAAGCUCUGUUAAUCGGGACGCGGUACCGGAAUAGAAAGCCACGGCUAACUACGUGCCAGCAGCCGCGGUAAUAC